GUCAUCAAUGCUUUUUAUGGGUUUAUUAAUUGAGAAUAUCGAAGUCAUCAAUGAAGAGUAUAAAAUGUGAUAGGCCUAAAUUGAAGGCCAUGUAGAUACAUCCAAAAUUAAGAGAGAAAUAAACAAGCUAAUUAUAAUAUUAUUUAGUGACUUAUUUAAUUUAUUACCAACAUCUUAGAUAAUAAAGCCAUAAUUUCAAUGUUUGUGAAGCUACGAAAGGAAAUGAAAAAUACAAUUAUUGGGAUUGAUUGUAAUAACUAAAUAGAAACUAUGAAAUAAUCAAGCAUAUUUUAUAUUGCAUAAUAUUUUUACUAGUGUAGGAACUGAUUCUUCUCUGCACGAGGUUUAUAUGGAUCCAAAUCAACAUAUAUACAUACAUUUUCACGACACUUGAUCGCGAAAAAUCUUAAAGAGAGUUGUGGACAUUCCUCAUCACUGCGACAUGGACCACCCACUGUAAUGAAUAAAGACAAUAAACUAAUGUUAAUAAAACAAGACAAAAUAUUUUAUACAAACAACAAGGUAGAAAAUGAAAUUUGAAAAGUAUAAAAAAAAAUAGCUUACAUUCAGCGCUCAUUGAAACAAGAUAUAGGGAAACAAAUAAAAUCAAAGCAAACACAAGCUUGCAAGUUUUUGCCAUUUUUAUCUUUCUUUGCAU
rnacentral:lncRNA from 1 species